rnacentral:rRNA from 1 species
CAGCCGCCGCGGUAAUACGGUGGGUGCAAGCGUUAAUCGGAAUUACUGGGCGUAAAGCGUGCGUAGGCGGUUCGUUAAGUCUGUUGUGAAAGCCCCGGGCUCAACCUGGGAAUGGCAAUGGAUACUGGCGAGCUAGAGUGUGCCAGAGGAUGGUGGAAUUCCCGGUGUAGCGGUGAAAUGCGUAGAGAUCGGGAGGAACAUCAGUGGCGAAGGCGGCCAUCUGGGACAACACUGACGCUGAGGCACGAAAGCGUGGGGAGCAAACAGGAUUAGAUACCCGCGUAGUCCCUGUCUCUUAUAC